CAAACGACUCUCGGCAACGGAUAUCUCGGCUCUCGCAUCGAUGAAGAACGUAGCGAAAUGCGAUACUUGGUGUGAAUUGCAGAAUCCCGUGAACCAUCGAGUUUUUGAACGCAAGUUGCGCCCAAAGCCAUCCGGCUGAGGGCACGCCUGCCUGGGCGUCACGC
rnacentral:rRNA from 1 species